rnacentral:rRNA from 1 species
AUUGAACGCUGGCGGCAGGCCUAACACAUGCAAGUCGAACGAGUGGCGGACGGGUGAGUAAUGUCUGGGAAACUGCCUGAUGGAGGGGGAUAACUACUGGAAACGGUAGCUAAAAACGCAUACCCUCGGAUGUGGCCAGAUGGGAGUGGCUAGUAGGUGGGGUAACGGCUCACCUAGGCGACGAUCCCUAGCUGGGCUGAGAGGAUGACCAGCCACCCUGGAACUGAGACACGGUCCAGACUCCUACGGGAGGCAGAGGUGGGGAAUAUUGCAAAAUGGGCGAAAGCCUGAUGCAGCCAUGCCGCGUGUAUGAAGAAGGCCUUCGGGUUGUAAAGUACUUUCAGCGGGGAGGCGUUACCCGCAGAAGAAGCACCGGCUAACUCCGUGCCAGCAGCCGCGGUAAUUC